rnacentral:rRNA from 1 species
UACAGAGGUCUCAAGCGUUUGUUCGGAUUCAUUGGGCGUAAAGGGUGUGUAGGUGGCGCGCUAAGUCGGGUGUGAAAUUUCGGAGCUUAACUCCGAAACUGCAUUCGAUACUGCCGUGCUUGAGGACUGGAGAGGAGACUGGAAUUUACGGUGUAGCGGUGAAAUGCGUAGAUAUCGUAAGGAAGACCAGUGGCGAAGGCGGGUCUCUGGACAGUUCCUGACGCUGAGGCACGAAGGCCAGGGGAGCAAACGGG